rnacentral:rRNA from 1 species
GGUUCCUUGAAUAGAUAAGGAAUCUGACCUGCCCGGUGGGUUUGUCUUAACGGCCGCAGUAUUUUGACUGUGCAAAGGUAGCAUAAUCACUUGCCUUUUAAUUGGAGGCUGGUAUGAAUGGUUUAACAAGAAUAUGACUGUCUCUAGGGAAUUAUAUAGAAAUUAGUUUUAGGGUGAAGAAACCCUAGUAAGAAUAAAAGACGAGAAGACCCUAUCGAGCUUUAUGAAUUAAUUAAUUUUCGUUAAGUGUAUGACACUUAUACUACAUUACUUUUAUAGUAAAAGAAAUAUUUUUAAGAUUUUUGGUUGGGGCAACCAAGGGAUAUUAGAAACUCCCACGCAGAUUAUAUAUUUUUAUUGAAGUUGAGCCGUUUUAAGAAUGAUUUAAGGAAAAAGCUACCGUAGGGAUAACAGCGUAAUUUUCUUUUAGAGUUCCAAUCGAUAAGAAAGUUUGCGACCUCGAUGUUGGAUUAAGGUAUCCUGAAGAUGCAGAAG